rnacentral:rRNA from 1 species
CACCUUCGGGUGUGAAUUAGCGGCGAACGGGUGAGGAACACGUGAGAAAUCUGCCUUCAACACUGGGAUAACUCCGGGAAACCGGGGCUAAUACCGGAUAUGAAAUCUGCGGGCAUCCGCGGAUUUGGAAAGUUUUUCGGUUGAAGAUGAUCUCGCGGCCUAUCAGCUUGUUGGUGAGGUAAUGGCUCACCAAGGCGACGACGGGUAGCCGGCCUGAGAGGGCGACCGGCCACACUGGGACUGAGACACGGCCCAGACUCCUACGGGAGGCAGCAGUGGGGAAUAUUGGGCAAUGGAGGAAACUCUGACCCAGCGACGCCGCGUGCGGGUUGAAGGCCUUCGGGUUGUAAACCGCUUUCAGCAGGGAAGAAGCGAAGGUGACGGUACCUGCAGAAGAAGCACCGGCUAACUAUGUGCCAGCAGCCGCGGUAAUACAUAGGGUGCAAGCGUUGUCCGGAAUUAUUGGGCGUAAAGAGCUCGUAGGUGGUUCGUCACGUCGGAUGUGAAACUCUGGGGCUUAACCCCAGACCUGCAUUCGAUACGGGCGAGCUUGAGUAUGGUAGGGGAGUCUGGAAUUCCUGGUGUAGCGGUGGAAUGCGCAGAUAUCAGGAGGAACACCAAUGGCGAAGGCAGGACUCUGGGCCAUUACUGACACUGAGGAGCGAAAGUCUGGGGAGCGAACAGGAUUAGAUACCCUGGUAGU